AUUAUACUCCCUCCGUCCGAAAAUACUUGUCAUCAAAUUGACAAAAAGGGAUGUAUCUAAAACUAAAAUACAUCUAGAUACAUCCCUUUUAUCCAUUUUGAUGACAAGUAUUUCCGGACGGAGGGAGUAUAUA
rnacentral:pre_miRNA from 1 species